ensembl:lncRNA
UGUGCCAACACAUUUUGUACUUUGUAGAUAUCAUGCCACCGAAAAAACGAUGAGACAUCAGGAGCUUUUUUCCCCCACCCAAAGAGAAACGCAGCAGCAGGCUGAAGUAGAGCAGGAUGAAACAGCUGCGUCUUCAGGGUUUCAGUCGUAUUGCUUCGGUUGAAGCAUGUGUAGAGCCCUGACCUCAACCCCACUGAACACCUUUGGGAUGAACUGGAACUGGAGCUUCCUGACAUCAACAUCAGCACCUGAUCUCAACCUCACUAACGCUGUUGUAGCUGAAUGAACACGAGUCCCCACGGCCACGCCCCAAAAUCUAGUGGAAAGCCUUCCCAGAAGAGUGGAGCACGUUAUAACAGCGAAGAGAGAAUACAUCUGGAACAUCUUUUCCAUACUGUGCAUUUAAGUACAGCUCAGCAUGCUUUCCAGCAGAUUAAGUCUCUUCAUUUGAUCGUGAAUCCUCCUGAUCAGGUGUUUGUAAUAACGAAGAUGGAAGGAAUCGAGGGGGAUGGAGGAAGUGAGAUGCCAAAAAGAUCAACGCUUCACAUUUACUUUUUACAUUUAUUCAUUUAGCAGACGCUUUUAUCCAAAGCGACUUACAAAUGAGAAAAUACAAGCAAAGCGAUUAUCAAGCAGAGAACAAUACAAGUAGUGUUACCAUACAAGAUCCAUUAAUUGAGUUUGAGAAGAAGCAAAGUGCGCAGAGUAGAGGUGUAAGUGCAGAUUUUUAAAAAUGUAUUUAUUCAUUUAUUUAUUUAUCAUGGGUUGGUUAGAUGUUCACGGAAGAGGUGG